rnacentral:lncRNA from 1 species
AAGGAAAAACUAGGAAGGAAAUGGGUCUGUUGGAAUUCACUGGUAUACAGAUUAGGUCAAAUAUCUGUGGGAUGAACAUGGCAUUCUCGCCUAUUCACUUCAAUGCUUUACUUGGUUUACCUAACUCUGGGAUAGAGUUAGAUGCAUUUGAGAAGGAUACCAGAUACAGAAAUGAUCUUCUGCAUCUCAUCUGCACUGAUUUUUCAUUGAAAGGCAAAGUCAAAGGACUAACUGAUGAAUGCAGAGUUCUUUUCAAGAUCAUCUUAGCAGCUAUCAGUCCAAGGGUUGGUGGGACUGAUACAAUCU